rnacentral:piRNA from 1 species
UACCCAGGAUGUCAGGGAUUUUCCACCUA